rnacentral:lncRNA from 10 species
GUCUUCGGCUGGUUCAGUACCCAGAGCUGCAAUGUUCCCUUCUCUGAAUGUGGGAGGAGAAAAAGGAGGGACACUGUGCACAGAGCCCCUACCAUGGGGCCAACACAGUAGGGGUCCCCAGCAAAGGAGGGGCCAAAGCCAGGGCCAGUGCCCUGGCUUUCAAACCAUCUGCCAUCCCCUGCAGGGCUCUCACAGCACUGGGCUGGCACUGGGUUGUAGGUAGGCCUCCAGGGAUGCAACUCCUCUCCAGCCCUCCUCUAAAUGCUCCACAGGCUCUUGAAGAAAUGAAGAGAGGUAUCAUUGCUGUGGAAAAAUCUCUGGAGUCAGAGGCCUGGG